rnacentral:misc_RNA from 1 species
GAUGAAGAACGUAGUGAAAUGCGAUAAGUAAUGCGAAUUGCAGAAUUCAGUGAGUCAUCGAAUCUUUGAACGCACAUUGCGCCCUGUGGUAUUCCGCAGGGCAUGCCUGUUCGAGCGUCAUUUCAACCCUCAAGCUCUGCUUGGUGUUGGGCCCUGCCCGCUGCGGCCGGCCCUAAAGACAGUGGCGGUGCCGCCUGGCCCUGAGCGUAGUACAUCUCUCGCUCCAGUGCCCGGUGGUAGCCUGCCAGAACCCCAACUCUCGUGGUUGACCUCGGAUCAGGGAGGGAUACCCGCUGAACUUAAGCAUAUCAAUAAGCGGAGGA